rnacentral:rRNA from 1 species
AGUUUGAUCCUGGCUCAGAUUGAACGCUGGCGGCAUGCCUUACACAUGCAAGUCGAACGGCAGCGGGCCUUCGGGUGCCGGCGAGUGGCGAACGGGUGAGUAAUGCAUCGGAACGUGCCAUUGAGUGGGGGAUAACGUAGCGAAAGUUACGCUAAUACCGCAUAUUCUGUGAGCAGGAAAGCAGGGGACCGCAAGGCCUUGCGCUCUUUGAGCGGCCGAUGUCAGAUUAGCUAGUUGGUGAGGUAACGGCUUACCAAGGCGACGAUCUGUAGCGGGUCUGAGAGGAUGAUCCGCCACACUGGAACUGAGACACGGUCCAGACUCCUAUGGGAGGCAGCAGUGGGGAAUUUUGGACAAUGGGGGCAACCCUGAUCCAGCCAUGCCGCGUGAGUGAAGAAGGCCUUCGGGUUGUAAAGCUCUUUCGGCCGGGAAGAAAUCGCAUGGGUUAAUACCCUGUGCGGAUGACGGUACCGGCAUAAGAAGCACCGGCUAACUACGUG